rnacentral:rRNA from 1 species
AACGAACGCUGGCGGCAGGCCUAACACAUGCAAGUCGAGCGAGAUCUUCGGGUCUAGCGGCGGACGGGUGAGUAACGCGUGGGAAUAUGCCUCUUGGUACGGAAUAGCCUCGGGAAACUGGGAGUAAUACCGUAUGUGCCCUUUGGGGGAAAGAUUUAUCGCCAAGAGAUUAGCCCGCGUUGGAUUAGGUAGUUGGUGGGGUAAUGGCCUACCAAGCCGACGAUCCAUAGCUGGUUUGAGAGGAUGAUCAGCCACACUGGGACUGAGACACGGCCCAGACUCCUACGGGAGGCAGCAGUGGGGAAUCUUAGGCAAUGGGGGCAACCCUGAUCUAGCCAUGCCGCGUGAGUGAUGAAGGCCUUAGGGUUGUAAAGCUCUUUCAGCUGGGAAGAUAAUGACGGUACCAGCAGAAGAAGCCCCGGCUAACUCCGUG